rnacentral:rRNA from 1 species
AUGUUUCGAUGUGAGAAGAAGGAAGAGAGGCAAGAGCUCAAGCUUGGGGAUGCCCGAGGCACACCAAGUAAAUAUUCAAGGAGACUCAAGCGUCUAAGCUUGGGGAUGCUGGGGAGGCAUCCCCUCUUUCUUCAACAAGUAUCGGUAUGUUUUCGGAUUCGUUUCGUUCAUGCAUUAUGUGCAAGUCUUGGAGCGUCUUUUGCAAUUAGGUUUUUAUUUUUAUUUUAUGCACCAUGCUGGUAUGAGAUGGUCCUUGGUCGAUUUGUAGAAUGCUCUAUGCACUUAACUUAUAUCUUUUGA